rnacentral:rRNA from 1 species
UACAGAGACUGCAAGCGUUGUUCGGAAUUACUGGGCGUAAAGCGCGCGCAGGCGGCCUUUUAAGUCUGACGGUGAAAUGCCGGGGCUCAACCCCGUGCCCGCCGGAGAUACUGGGAGGCUGGAGACGAGUAGAGGCAAGCGGAAUUCCGGGUGUAGCGGUGGAAUGCGUAGAGAUCAGGCGGAACACCCGUGGCGAAGGCGGCCAGCUGGGUCGUCCCUGACGCUGAGGCGCGAAGGCGUGGGGAGCGAACGGG